rnacentral:rRNA from 1 species
UAAGGAAUAUUGGUCAAUGGACGCAAGUCUGAACCAGCCAUGCCGCGUGAAGGAUGAAGGUCCUCUGGAUUGUAAACUUCUCUUAUCUGGGACGAAAACGGGAUUUUUAUCUCAAUUGACGGUACCAGAGGAAUAAGCACCGGCUAACUCCGUGCCAGCAGCCGCGGUAAUACGGAGGGUGCGAGCGUUAUCCGGAUUUACUGGGUUUAAAGGGUGCGUAGGUGGGUAUGUAAGUCAGUGGUGAAAUCCCCGAGCUUAACUUGGGAACUGCCAUUGAUACUAUAUAUCUUGAAUACCGUAGAGGUAAGCGGAAUAUGUCAUGUAGCGGUGAAAUGCUUAGGUAUGACAUGGAACACCAAUUGCGAAGGCAGCUUACUAUGCGGUGAUUGACACUGAGGCACGAAAGCGUGGGUAGCAAACA